rnacentral:rRNA from 1 species
AGUGAACGCUGGCGGUAGGCCUAACACAUGCAAGUCGAACGGCACCUCAGUAAGAGCUUGCUCUUCGGGGUGUCAAGCGUCGGACGCGUGCGUAAUACUCCGAAUUAUUCUCUUUCGUGGGGGCUAACGUCGGGAAAUUUCCGCUAAUCCCACAUACAUCCCCCGGGUGAAAGCAGGGGUUCUUCUGACCUUUUGGUAGUGAAUGAGCCGAUGUCGGCUUAGCUAGUUGGCGGGGUAAAGGCCCAGCAAGGCGACGAUCCGUAACUGGUCUGAGAGGAUGUUCAGCCACACGGGAACUGAGACACGGUCCAGACUCCGACGGGAGGCAGCAGUGGGGAAUAUUGGACAAUGGGCGCAAGCCUGAUCCAGCCAUACCGCGUGGGUGAAGAAGGCCUUCGGGUUGUAAAGCCCUUUUGUUGGGAAAGAAAAGCAGCAGGUUAAUACCCCGCGGUUCUGACGGUACCCAAAGAAUAAGCACCGGCUAACUUCGUG